UACGUAGGGGGCAAGCGUUGUUCGGAAUUACUGGGCGUAAAGGGCGCGUAGGCGGCAUGGCAAGUCAGGAGUGAAAGGCCUGGGCUCAACCGAGGAACUGCUUUUGAUACUGCCAAGCUAGAGUGCGGAAGGGGCAACUGGAAUUCCCAGUGUAGCGGUGAAAUGCGUAGAUAUUGGGGAGAACACCUGAGGCGAAGGCGGGUUGCUGGGCCGACACUGACGCUGAGGCGCGAAAGCCAGGGGAGCAAACGGG
rnacentral:rRNA from 1 species